AGAAUCAACGCUGGCGGCGUGCCUCAGACAUGCAAGUCGAACGAUUAAACUUUCCUUCGGGAAAGAUAUAAAGUGGCGCACGGGUGAGUAACACGUAAGUAAUCUACCUUCGAGUGGGGAAUAACAUCGGGAAACCGAUGCUAAUACCGCAUAAUGCAGCGGCAUCGCAAGAUGACAGUUGUUAAAGGAGCAAUCCGCUUGAAGAGGAGCUUGCGGCAGAUUAGCUA
rnacentral:rRNA from 1 species